CAGUAGCCGCGGUAAUACGGAGGGGGCUAGCGUUGUUCGGAAUUACUGGGCGUAAAGCGUGCGUAGGCGGUGAGUUAAGUCUGCUGUGAAAUCCCCGGGCUCAACCUGGGAAUGGCAGUGGAUACUGGCUCGCUAGAGUGUGUCAGAGGAUGGUGGAAUUCCCGGUGCAGCGGUGAAAUGCGUAGAGAUCGGGAGGAACAUCAGUGGCGAAGGCGGCCAUCUGGGACAACACUGACGCUGAGGCACGAAAGCGUGGGGAGCAAACAGGAUUAGAUACCCGAGUAGUCCCUGUCUCUUAUAC
rnacentral:rRNA from 1 species